GACGAACGCUGGCGGCGUGCUUAACACAUGCAAGUCGAACGGUAAGGCCCUUCGGGGUACACGAGUGGCGAACGGGUGAGUAACACGUGGGUGAUCUGCCCUGCACUUCGGGAUAAGCCUGGGAAACUGGGUCUAAUACCGGAUAGGACCACUGCCUGCAUGGUGGUGGUGGAAAGCUUUUGCGGUGUGGGAUGGGCCCGCGGCCGACCAGCUUGUUGGUGGGGUGAUGGCCUACCAAGGCGACGACGGGUAGCCGGCCUGAGGGGGUGACCGGCCACACUGGGACUGAGAUACGGCCCAGACUCCUACGGGAGGCAGCAGUGGGGAAUAUUGCACAAUGGGCGCAAGCCUGAUGCAGCGACGCCGCGUGAGGGAUGACGGUCUUCGGGUUGUAAACCUCUUUCAGCACCGACGAAGCGCAAGUGACGGUAGGUGCAGAAGAAGGACCGGCCAACUACGUGCCAGCCGCCGCCGUAA
rnacentral:rRNA from 1 species